AAGAGCUCAGCGCUGCCUCCCAGAGAAGCUAAUGUGCAGUCGGGGUACAGACAGACAGACAGACAGACAGACAGACAGCCUCAUCAUGGACACCGAAAAGUUAUGCACAAUGAGGGACGUCUGCAGCGACUGAGAAAGAGUCUCACCACAUCCUGACAUGAGGAAAAAGACUUUAUUGAAGACUACAAUGAGAAAAACUAUCAGACAGCAGAUGGCUGCAUUCAAGGUGAGCUCUGAACAUUUGAUCUGGAAAAGGAAUUCAAUCACGGCAGCAUGAGCUUCAUUUCAGUCUGUAGCUGCUGAAUUCAUGGAUGAAUCAUCUGGCACUAGAGAAGAAGACCAUCAAACAUCCAUGUCAGCUGAUGGAGGUCCAAGAGUCUCACCAAACAAACAACCUACAGAGUGAAGACCUGGAAUCUGAUUGGACGGCCUCCUAUUCAGCCACGUGUG